rnacentral:rRNA from 14 species
GACAUCGAUUCCGUAAGUAGCGGCGAGCGAAAGCGGAACAGCCCAAACCAGGCUUCGGCCUGGGGUUACGGGCGCCUUGAGUCGAAAUAGCCUAGCCAAACAGUCUGGAAAGUCUGACCAUAGCGGGUGAGAGUCCCGUAGGCGUAAGGUGAAAUAGACGUUGAGAGGCGUACCAGAGUAGCACGGAGCUCGUGGAACUCCGUGCGAAGUCGGUCGGCCCACCGACCAAGGCUAAAUACUCCUCGAUGACCGAUAGUGAACAAGUAGGGCGAUUGAACGAUGAAAAGCACGGCGACGAGCCGAGUUAAAAGCACCUGAAACCCUGUACUUACAAGCGGUCGGAGCCCUAUGGCUGUAGCAAUACAGCAACGGGUGACGGCGUACCUUUUGCAUAAUGGGCCGGCGAGUUAUUGUCAGCGGCAAGGCUAAAUGAGUCAAUUCAUGCAGCCGUAGCGAAAGCGAGUGCGAAAUGCGCGUCAAGUCGUUGGCAAUAGGCCCGAAACCCCGUGAUCUACCCGUGGGCAGAGUGAACGACCCGUAAAAGGGUCGGGAGGCUCGAAGCCGUGAACGUUGAAAAGUUCUGGCAUGACCUGCGGGGAGGAGUGAAAGUCUAAUCAAACGGGGAGAUAUCUGGUUCUCUUCGAAAUGCCUUUAGGGGCAGCCUCUUGUGAUGUUAUACCGAGGUAGAGCGACGGAUAGGACUAGGGGGAGUCACAUCCUACCAAAUCCUGAUGAACUCCGAAUGGUAUUAAAUAUACUCUGCAAUGAGGGCAUGGGUGCUAAGGUCCGUGUCCGAGAGGGAAAGAACCCAGACCAACCGCUAAGGUCCCUAAAUCAGGACUAAGUUGAACAAAGGAAGUCUAUCUGCACAGACAGCCAGGAUGUUUGCU